rnacentral:rRNA from 1 species
CCUACGGGAGGCAGCAGUAGGGAAUCUUCCGCAAUGGACGAAAGUCUGACGGAGCAACGCCGCGUGAACGAUGAAGGCCUUCGGGUCGUAAAGUUCUGUUGUUAGGGAAGAACAAGUGCUAGUUGAAUAAGCUGGCACCUUGACGGUACCUAACCAGAAAGCCACGGCUAACUACGUGCCAGCAGCCGCGGUAAUACGUAGGUGGCAAGCGUUGUCCGGAAUUAUUGGGCGUAAAGCGCGCGCAGGCGGUUUCUUAAGUCUGAUGUGAAAGCCCCCGGCUCAACCGGGGAGGGUCAUUGGAAACUGGGAAACUUGAGUGCAGAAGAGGAAAGUGGAAUUCCAAGUGUAGCGGUGAAAUGCGUAGAGAUUUGGAGGAACACCAGUGGCGAAGGCGACUUUCUGGUCUGUAACUGACGCUGAGGCGCGAAAGCGUGGGGAGCAAACAGGAUUAGAUACCCUGGUAGUCCACGCUGUAAACGAUGAGUGCUAAGUGUUAGAGGGUUUCCGCCUUUAGUGCUGAAGUUACGCAUUAAGCNCNCGCGUGGNGNGNGNAGANGAAUANAUUAGAUGNGNGNGNGNGNGCGAGNGACGAGAGGAGAG